rnacentral:rRNA from 1 species
CCUACGGGAGGCAGCAGUGGGGAAUUUUGGACAAUGGGGGCAACCCUGAUCCAGCCAUGCCGCGUGAGUGAAGAAGGCCUUCGGGUUGUAAAGCUCUUUCAGCCGGGAAGAAAACGCAUUGGUUAAUACCUGAUGUGGAUGACGGUACCGGAAUAAGAAGCACCGGCUAACUACGUGCCAGCAGCCGCGGUAAUACGUAGGGUGCGAGCGUUAAUCGGAAUUACUGGGCGUAAAGCGUGCGCGGGCGGUUUUGUAAGAUAGGCGUGAAAUCCCCGGGCUUAACCUGGGAAUUGCGUUUAUGACUGCAAAGCUAGAGUACGGCAGAGGGGGGUGGAAUUCCACGUGUAGCAGUGAAAUGCGUAGAGAUGUGGAGGAACACCAAUGGCGAAGGCAGCCCCCUGGGUCGAUACUGACGCUCAUGCACGAAAGCGUGGGUAGCAAACAGGAUUAGAUACCCUGGUAGUCCACGCCCUAAACGAUGUCAACUAGGUGUUGGGAGGGUAAAACCUUUUAGUACCGGAGCUAACGCGUGAAGUGACCGCCCUGG